AUUGAACGCUGGCGGCAUGCUUUACACAUGCAAGUCGAACGGCAGCGCGGGGGCAACCCUGGCGGCGAGUGGCGAACGGGUGAGUAAUGCAUCGGAACGUAUCCUGUAAUGGGGGAUAACGUAGCGAAAGUUACGCUAAUACCGCAUACGCUCGAGAGAGGAAAGUGGGGGAUCGCAAGACCUCACGUUAUAGGAGCUGCCGAUGUCCGAUUAGCUAGUUGGUGGGGUAAAGGCCUACCAAGGCGACGAUCGGUAGCUGGUCUGAGAGGAUGAUCAGCCACACUGGGACUGAGACACGGCCCAGACUCCUACGGGAGGCAGCAGUGGGGAAUUUUGGACAAUGGGCGAAAGCCUGAUCCAGCCAUGCCGCGUGCGGGAAGAAGGCCUUCGGGUUGUAAACCGCUUUAGUCCGGGAAUAAGGGGUGCGAGGAUAAUACCCUUGUGCUUUGAUGGUACUGGAAGAAUAAGCACCGGCUAACUACGUGCCAGCAGCCGCGGUAAUACGUAGGGUGCGAGCGUUAAUCGGAAUUACUGGGCGUAAAGCGUGCGCAGGCGGUCUUGUAAGACAGUCGUGAAAGCCCCGGGCUUAACCUGGGAACUGCGAUUGUGACUGCAAGGCUAGAGUGUGUCAGAGGGGGGUGGAAUUCCACGUGUAGCAGUGAAAUGCGUAGAGAUGUGGAGGAACACCGAUGGCGAAGGCAGCCUCCUGGGAUAACACUGACGCUCAUGCACGAAAGCGUGGGGAGC
rnacentral:rRNA from 1 species